rnacentral:rRNA from 1 species
UUUUAGAUAGAUCUUAUAGAAAAAUAGUUUGCGACCUCGAUGUUGGAUUAGGAUACUUGUUUAAUGAAGAAGUUAAAUAAAGAAGUUUGUUCAACUUUUAAAAUCCUACUUGAUCUGAGUUCAGACC